rnacentral:rRNA from 1 species
AGUGAACGCUGGCGGUAGGCCUAACACAUGCAAGUCGAACGGCAGCACAGUAAGAGCUUGCUCUUACGGGUGGCGAGUGGCGGACGGGUGAGGAAUACAUCGGAAUUUACUUUUUCGUGGGGGGUAACGUAGGGAAACUUACGCUAAUACCGCAUACGACCUACGGGUGAAAGCAGGGGAUCUUCGGACCUUGCGCGAUUGAAUGAGCGGAUGUCGGAUUAGCUAGUUGGCGGGGUAAAGGCCCACCAAGGCGACGAUCCGUAGCUGGUCUGAGAGGAUGAUCAGCCACACUGGAACUGAGACACGGUCCAGACUCCUACGGGAGGCAGCAGUGGGGAAUAUUGGACAAUGGGCGCAAGCCUGAUCCAGCCAUACCGCGUGGGUGAAGAAGGCCUUCGGGUUGUAAAGCCCUUUUGUUGGGAAAGAAAAGCAGCAGGUUAAUACCCCGCUGUUCUGACGGUACCCAAAGAAUAAGCACCGGCUAACUUCGUG